rnacentral:rRNA from 1 species
UACAGAGGUCCCAACCGUUGUUCGGAUUCAUUGGGCGUAAAGGGUGCGUAGGCGGCGGGGCAAGUCAGGUGUGAAAUCUCGGGGCUCAACCCCGAAACUGCACUUGAUACUGCCUUGCUCGAGUACUGGAGAGGAGACUGGAAUUUACGGUGUAGCAGUGAAAUGCGUAGAUAUCGUAAGGAAGACCAGUGGCGAAGGCGAGUCUCUGGACAGUUACUGACGCUGAGGAGCGAAAGCCAGGGGAGCAAACGGG